rnacentral:lncRNA from 1 species
UAAAUUUAAUGUUUUAUUUGCAAAGAAAUAUUUCCCAAAUGGGGCAUACAGGAAAAUUCAGUGGUCUUCAAGAUAUUGGAAGAACGAAGAGAUUAUAUUAAGUUAUCUCAGAAGUUGUGGACAAAUUUGAUUUCAGGUUACAACAAGCCAAAGCAGUGAAGGUUGCAGAGAAUUUUGUUACUGAAAUGCCAGGGAUUCAGUGAAGACCCUGCAGCUUACCCCACAGAAAGCCAAUCACUAAGACAACAAGUGUUGCCAAGGAACAGGCUUUAAUCAGGUGCUGCAGCCGAGGAGAUGCGAUAACAUUCUCAAAUGUAUCUCCCUGACCAACUGAAAUUAGGAGUUUAUAUAGCAGGGAAGAAAUGUGGGAAAACAGGNNNNNNNNNNNNNNN